GUCCAUGCCGUAAACGUUGGGAACUAGAUGUAGGGCCUGUUCCACGGGUUCUGUGUCGUAGCUAACGCAUUAAGUUCCCCGCCUGGGGAGUACGGCCGCAAGGCUAAAACUCAAAGGAAUUGACGGGGCCCGCACAAGCGGCGGAGCAUGCGGAUUAAUUCGAUGCAACGCGAAGAACCUUACCAAGGCUUGACAUGUACGAGAACGGGCGAGAGAUCGUCAACUCUUUGGACACUCGUAUACAGGUGGUGCAUGGUUGUCGU
rnacentral:rRNA from 1 species